AUUCAUCUGAAAACAUAAAUAAAUUUACUAUAAAUACUUGAAGGUUUUAGACUAUCAAGGAAGCUUGAUUAAAAUCAUAACUCAAAGACAACAAAUCUGCUCGAUUUUACGAAUCUAAUAAAAAAUAACAUGCCAAAUGAAAACCUCACACAGAAUGUAAGCUUCAAAAUUAUAUGUAUAUCGAAAGAAAUCAAUGUGCUAUUUGGAGUUCCCAAAGAAGUUAUAUUGGACCGCUUCUAUUUUUAUUACUUAUAUGACGUUUGAACGGAAGUAUUGCGAUCAAAAAUCAUAUUAUCUUCGCUUCUGAUGACUUCAUGAUGACCAAAUGGAUAUUUCUUAUUACCAAAUAAUAUUGACCCUGUCUGCUGUCUCGGAAUUGUGUAUUUUGAACCCAAUGGAACUCAACAAAAUGAAAAAAAAAAAAAAAAAAAAAUAGUAUUACCUCCUGAUAUACUCACAAAUAAAAUUAUU